rnacentral:rRNA from 1 species
CCGCCGCGCGCGGCGGGCCUACGGGAGGCAGCAGUGGGGAAUAUUGCACAAUGGGCGCAAGCCUGAUGCAGCCAUGCCGCGUGUAUGAAGAAGGCCUUCGGGUUGUAAAGUACUUUCAGCGGGGAGGAAGGCGGUGAGGUUAAUAACCUCAUCGAUUGACGUUACCCGCAGAAGAAGCACCGGCUAACUCCGUGCCAGCAGCCGCGGUAAUA